ACUUUCAACAACGGAUCUCUUGGCUCUCGCAUCGAUGAAGAACGCAGCGAAUUGCGAUAAGUAAUGUGAAUUGCAGAAUUACCGUGAAUCAUCGAAUCUUUGAACGCAUAUUGCACUCCCUGGUAAUCCGGGGAGUAUGCCUGUUUGAGGGUCAGU
rnacentral:rRNA from 1 species